CAUAUAGCCGACCUCAAAUUUUUAGGAUAAAUGCUUAGUCGAGUUGGGUACGAUAGUUUGCACUUAGUAGACUAUUCACAAACUAGAUAAAGGACUUAAACAAAAGGACACUAGUCUUUUUGAAUGCUUAAAAUAUUAGAUUUGACUACUAAAAUAGGAGAGAGUUAUUUGAAGAGCUUUUUUUGCCUUUCCUCCUUGAAAAUUUAUAAUUAACUUGGUGCUUAUUUUUCAUUUGAACACUAGGUUGCCGUAACUCCUCUAUUGCUU
rnacentral:misc_RNA from 1 species